rnacentral:rRNA from 1 species
UACGAAGGGUGCAAGCGUUACUCGGAAUUACUGGGCGUAAAGCGUGCGUAGGUGGUGCGUUAAGUCUGUCGUGAAAGCCCCGGGCUCAACCUGGGAAUGGCGAUGGGUACUGGCGCGCUAGAGUGCGGUAGAGGAGAGUGGAAUUCCCGGUGUAGCAGUGAAAUGCGUAGAGAUCGGGAGGAACAUCAGUUGCGAAGGCGGCUCUCUGGACCAGCACUGACACUGAGGCACGAAAGCGUGGGGAGCAAACAGG